AUUGAACGCUGGCGGCAGGCCUAACACAUGCAAGUCGAAUGGUAACAGGAAACAGCUUGCUGUUUCGCUGACGAGUGGCGGACGGGUGAGUAAUGUCUGGGAAACUGCCUGAUGGAGGGGGAUAACUACUGGAAACGGUAGCUAAUACCGCAUAACGUCGCAAGACCAAAGAGGGGGACCUUCGGGCCUCUUGCCAUCAGAUGUGCCCAGAUGGGAUUAGCUAGUAGGUGGGGUAACGGCUCACCUAGGCGACGAUCCCUAGCUGGUCUGAGAGGAUGACCAGCCACACUGGAACUGAGACACGGUCCAGACUCCUACGGGAGGCAGCAGUGGGGAAUAUUGCACAAUGGGCGCAAGCCUGAUGCAGCCAUGCCGCGUGUAUGAAGAAGGCCUUCGGGUUGUAAAGUACUUUCAGCGGGGAGGGAGGGAGUAAAGUUAAUACCUUUGCUCAUUGACGUUACCCGCAGAAGAAGCACCGGCUAACUCCGUG
rnacentral:rRNA from 1 species